UGUCCUAGGGGGUCCUAAAUAAGUAUUCAGGUUUCUCAGGCAGUGGGUGGGGCCAUAGAGCUCCCAAGAGAUCAUGUCCUUUGUGUUUGGCCACCAGGGCAGGCAAGGAAGACCAUCAGGUGGGGGCAGGGUGUCUGAGCUCAGACUCUCCUUGGGCAGGGUUUGCUGCUGCUGUGGAGGAUUGGGUGUGGUUCUCAGGCUGAUGGAGUUAUGUUCCCAGGGGAAUUAUGACUGCCUCUGAUGCAUCAUACAGGUUGCCAGGGAAGUGAGGGAAAGCCAGCAGUGACAGGUCUCACCCAGCUCCCAGGCAGCCCAAAAGGCCAUCUCACUCCCACUAUGUCUCCCCUCAACAGCACCAAGUUUGUUUCCACGCAGCUGGUGAGCAGGCCUGAGAUCUUUCCUCAGGCUAUAAGCCUCCCCACUGAGAAUGCAAGGAGAGCUUUCAGGUUUCACACCUCCCCACCUGCCACGGUUUCCUCCCCAAGAACCCCUGAAAGACAAAGUCGAGAAUGGAUUCCUGGAACCAAGCAUGUCCACAGGGCUCUUGGUGCUGCUUCCUCUACCCCUACGUUCUAUAUAGUUCUGGAAGUACUCACUGCAGAGACAAAUGGAAAUGAGUCCACUCUAGGAAGAAGAAUAACUGGAAGCUUGAAAGUUUUUCUGAAUGAGCUGUGUAAACGCGACUUGGAAAUGUGACUUCAGGAGAAAGAACCAGGUAGAAAACCCUGAUGGCGAAAGCAAGUUUUAACUGAAUUGAGAAGAACCUGAAAGUUAUGUAACCAUGGCUUUUAUGAGUCAAAGAAGAGACACUAUGGGCAUGUGAACUAUAACAAUGACAUCUGGCAUGGAGAAAAUGAUAGAUUCAGUAAUUUCAAUUUUCUGCAAGAUAGAGAACACACAGAGAAGUAGUGAUUGACAUACAGUAUAAGAAUCCAUCCCCUACAAUGUGUGCAAAGGAAAUUAAUGACUGGCUAGACGCUGGAAAAGUUUAACACUUUAAAUCAAUGGUGUGAAAAAAAGGUGGGUAUGAAAAUCGGAAUACUUGGAUAAUAAAUACUAAACAAUGGAA